GAUGAACGCUAGCGGCAGGCUUAAUACAUGCAAGUCGAGGGGCAGCGCAGUGUAGCAAUACAUGGGCGGCGACCGGCAAACGGGUGCGGAACACGUACAGAACCUUCCUUCGAGCGGGGAAUAGCCCAGAGAAAUUUGGAUUAAUACCCCAUAGUAUAUUAGAGUGGCAUCACUUUAAUAUUAAAGAUUUAUCACUUGAAGAUGGCUGUGCGGCUGAUUAGGAGUUGGCGGGGUAACGGCCCACCAAGCCAGCGAUCAGUAACUGGUGUGAGAGCACGACCAGUCACACGGGCACUGAGACACGGGCCCGACUCCUACGGGAGGCAGCAGUAAGGAAUAUUGGUCAAUGGACGCAAGUCUGAACCAGCCAUGCCGCGUGGAGGAUGAAGGUCCUCUGGAUUGUAAACUUCUUUUAUAUGGGACGAAAAAGGCUUUUCUAAGUCGUCUGACGGUACCAUAUGAAUAAGCACCGGCUAACUCCGUGCCAGCAGCC
rnacentral:rRNA from 1 species